AAUUUUCUUAUAUUACUAGAUGCAUCGUACAAUGCCCUGAGCAAGGCAGCAGCAUAGUAGUCAUAACUGAAGGAUGAUUACAGUACUCCUGCAUUUCCACACAAAGGCUUUCUGUAAAUGUAAACAGGUACUGCACUUCUCAGGAUCGAGGAGUCUUGCCUUGUCUAUUGCAGUGGAAAACAACAAACUUUCAUUGAUUUAA
rnacentral:lncRNA from 1 species